rnacentral:lncRNA from 1 species
CUUACAUUCAUAGUCAUCGAGCUGCCGUUGCUAGAAAAAUAUAAGCGUAGAGUCUCCUGAAGAACUUUAGGAUUGAGAAGUGGAAGGUGAAUGCGGCCUCUUCCCCUUCUUGAUGCUAUAUCCAUCAGAAAGAGAAGAAGAUCAUCGUGAAUGGCGGGCGGCACGAUGACAGUGUGGAGAAGGUGGUGGCUCGACAUGGUGAGAAUAUCGAGAUGGUC